CAGUGAGGAAUAUUGGUCAAUGGGCGCAAGCCUGAACCAGCCAUGCCGCGUGCAGGAUGACGGUCCUAUGGAUUGUAAACUGCUUUUGUACAGGAAGAAACACUGGUUCGUGAACCAGCUUGACGGUACUGUAAGAAUAAGGAUCGGCUAACUCCGUGCCAGCAGCCGCGGUAAUACGGAGGAUCCAAGCGUUAUCCGGAAUCAUUGGGUUUAAAGGGUCCGUAGGCGGUUUUGUAAGUCAGUGGUGAAAGCCCAUCGCUCAACGGUGGAACGGCCAUUGAUACUGCAAGACUUGAAUUAUUAGGAAGUAACUAGAAUAUGUAGUGUAGCGGUGAAAUGCUUAGAUAUUACAUGGAAUACCAAUUGCGAAGGCAGGUUACUACUAAUGGAUUGACGCUGAUGGACGAAAGCGUGGGGAGCAAACAGGAUUAGA
rnacentral:rRNA from 1 species